CGUUUCCAACAGUUUGUGAAGGCAGCAGAAGAAGCUCCUCUACCGUGGGAGGGGCCCGACCUGGAGGAAAGAGGGAGCACCGGGGAUCGUGAGGUGUGUGGUUGAUGCCGCUCGCAUCUGUUGUCCUGGCGUUGCCAAACUCCCGGGAAGCUGCACUAAAAGCCAAGUGUCGAGAUGUUAAGCCUUUUACAGACUGACGCAAGAUCGUGUCUGCUCCUCUGAAUUAUACCUGUCAAAACCACAUCGCCCCGUGACUCAGACUCCGCUGUGACUGACAGCCCAGGCAAAGUUCAACCACCACGCUCCAGAUCUUCACCAAAAUACAGCUGCUGCUGCUGCUGCUGCUGCUGCUGCUGCUGCUGCUGCUGCUGCCGCCGCCUGCGCCAGAGAAGAAACACCUCAGUCACAGGACAUGACCUUGGAAAAAAUUUGGUCACACACACACACACACACACACACGUAUUUUUGUCAUUGUUGUUUACUGCUCGAUGGAAAAGUCAGUGUAUCACAGUGUAGGUCUCUAUGAUUAAACACUAUGUUAUCCAAGUAUAUUAAAAAAUGUGUCAUAAGUCUAUUGGCGAAGCAUUAAAAUAUAGGGAAAAAACAAAAAGAAAAGAGGGCUUUGUGUUUAGUUUGUGAUGUUUUUUAAUUCGACUCAACUCCUCUUUCCAUUUUUCAUAUUCAGGACAAAAGCACAACGUGUUCCAAGAGAAGUGCUGUUGCUAAAACUAGCGAGAGAACAAAAGAACUGCGCCUGCUGAUAUACCAUGUGUCAACCGCCCUGUUUGUGUGUGUGUGUGUGCGCGCGCGCA